GACACGUCGAGACGCGGGGCAGCGGCGCUGCGUGGGGCGGAAGUGCCCGACGUUCCGCCCACUCUUGCGGGGCACGCCGGGAUCAGUAGUUCUCUGCGCGCCACGCGGAGCCUUUAAAUUGAGAGGAGGCGUGUUAAGGUCCAAAUUCCACAAAAAUUGGGUUGAAAAGAGCAAAAGAAAAACAUAACAGAAAAUAGAAGGAUAACAGAAAAUAAAAGGAAGCAACAAAGAAGGGAAGAGUUCUCCCUCUUCCCACUUCAACUGUUCACCUGCCUUACAUACCACCCCAUCUCAUCCUGCUUGAAACCGGUCCGUGCUUCCCUGAGUGACUUUGCGAGUUGUUAUCUGGACUCAGAAAGCAGAGGAAAGGGCUGCUCCUGUUACAAGCUGGCGGCUCCACGUGGUGCUGCGGAAAAGGCAUCCUUGCCGGAGGCAAAGGCAUUUACACCUUCCAGGGAGACACAUGAUUAGAGACGGCAGGGGAGGUGCAGACACAGACAGGGAGGAGGGGGUGGAUAGGCAGCUAACUGAAACUUAAUCUAUUAGAAGAGGAAAGGCCUUUGAAAAGUGAAUUAACGAUAUUUAUGGCUGCAUCAGGUAAGUAGCUGGCGAGAGCUCUCGGAUAAUGAGGCCAAGGUUGAAUUCCCAUAUGGACCAGAGAGAAGCGAUGGCGGAGGUCCUGUGGGGAAGUGAUGCUGUUCCUGCCCGGGCUCUGAGACUUAGGCAAACACACACCUCUCUGAGCCUCAGUUCCCCAGUCUAAAACGGGUAUUCACAGUCCACCUGCCUGUCCCAUAUGUCAUAAGGAAUAAACAAAAAUGGAGAGUAAAGUGCUUUUAAAAAUCAUACGUUUUAAAAAUGGUCUAUUAUUGUUACUGCUUACAUUAUUAUUUUCAUGGCCUAGGCACCCCCUCCCCCACUCCUUUAAAAUUUUUUAAAUUUAAGUUUUCAAUUACAGUUUACAUUCAAUAUUAUUUUGUGUUAGUUUCAGGUGUACAGCAUAGUGGGUUAGACAAUCAUAAACUUUACAGACUGUACCCCCUGAUACAUCCAAUACCCACCCUGCACCAUACGCAGUUAUUACAAAUUAUUGGCUGUAUUUCUUGUUCUGCCCUUUCCAUCUCUGUGACUGUGGUGUAACUACCCAUCUAUACUUCUUAAUCCUUCCCUUUCCCCACUUCUUUGCUGUGUAUCAGCUGGCUGUAGCUCACAGUGGAGAUUCAGUCACACGCUUAUAAACGAAUCAAUACUCCUUCAAUAGGCCCGUUAUGUUGGCCCUGAGUCAAGAAGAUUAUUUUCAUAGAAUGAAUACAAAAUAUGUCCUCAAGUGUUGGUGCUUGGCCUGUCCUACCCACUUCCGGUUAAAUCUUUUUCUUACUUAUUUUAACAUUUGUUCCACUUGGUUGCAGGGCUUCUAACCACUAACCAGUGUGGAUUUCCUGUCUCCUCCAUCUCUGUGUUUUGUCCUUUUGUCUGAUCUCCAGAGAACUAGAAAUUAGUUCAUUUGGCAUCCACUCCCCACUGAUGACAACUAUAGAGCACAUGUGCCUCCCUCCAAUGCCCUGCUCAUUGUGGACGCUGCUCACUGAUGGCACUUUCUCCCACCCACUGCUUAACACCUCUGCCCAACCUGGGGAACCGCUGGUCACAUGUGGCCACCGAUCAUCUGAAAUGUGGCUAGCAGGAACCUCACAAAAGAAAAAAAUGUAAAAGCUCUCUCUCUCUUUUUGGUAUUGUGGACGAAAGAGGCCACAUGCUGGCCUGACAAGCUCAGGAGAGGCCUGCAUGGCAUUCUUGCAAACUCAGAGACCUAAAGUAACCACAAAGGAUGGUCUGAAAUGAAACUUUAACUAAAAGCAGUUAUAGUGGGCAGUUACGUCCU